rnacentral:rRNA from 1 species
CUUGCUCCUUUAGGUUAGCGGCGGACGGGUGAGUAACACGUGGGCAACCUGCCCUGCAGACUGGGAUAACUUCGGGAAACCGGAGCUAAUACCGGAUAACACCGAAAACCGCAUGGGUUUUCGGUUGAAAGGCGGCUUUUAGCUGUCACUGCAGGAUGGGCCCGCGGCGCAUUAGCUAGUUGGUGAGGUAACGGCUCACCAAGGCGACGAUGCGUAGCCGACCUGAGAGGGUGACCGGCCACACUGGGACUGAGACACGGCCCAGACUCCUACGGGAGGCAGCAGUAGGGAAUCUUCCGCAAUGGACGAAAGUCUGACGGAGCAACGCCGCGUGAGCGAAGAAGGUCUUCGGAUCGUAAAGCUCUGUUGUCAGGGAAGAACAAGUACCGUUCGAACAGGGCGGUACCUUGACGGUACCUGACGAGGAAGCCACGGCUAACUACGUGCCAGCAGCCGCGGUAAUACGUAGGUGGCAAGCGUUGUCCGGAAUUAUUGGGCGUAAAGCGCGCGCAGGCGGUUCCUUAAGUCUGAUGUGAAAUCUCGCGGCUCAACCGCGAGCGGCCAUUGGAAACUGGGGAACUUGAGUGCAGGAGAGGGGAGCGGAAUUCCACGU